rnacentral:tRNA from 1 species
GAGGUUGUAGCUCAGUGAUAGAGCUCAUGUUUAGUAUGCAUGAGGUCCUAGGUUCGAUCCCUAGUAUCUCCA